AUGGUAUGUACUGGCUUUACUGAUUCCUCCUUCUUGAAGAACUGUAAUGUCAUUAAUUUGGUGUUGCAGGGAAACAGGACUGUUACUUUGAAAAAAUUAGAGUGUUUAAAGCAAGCUAACGCUUGAAUACAUUAGCAUGGAAUAAUGAAAUAGGACGUUCGAUCCUAUUUUGUUGGUUUCUAGGAUUGACGUAAUGAUUAAUAGGGAUAGUUGGGGGCAUUAGUAUUCAAUUGUCAGAGGUGAAAUUCUUGGAUUUAUUGAAGACUGACUACUGCGAAAGCAUUUGCCAAGGAUGUUUUCAUUAAUCAAGAACGAAAGUUAGGGGAUCGAAGACGAUCAGAUACCGUCGUAGUCUUAACCAUAAACUAUGCCGACUAGGGAUCGGAUGAUGUUAAUUUUUUAAUGACUCAUUCGG
rnacentral:rRNA from 1 species